rnacentral:lncRNA from 1 species
CAAAGAUAUACUAAGGAGCUUUUGCAAGUCAAUGUGCAAAAAGACACUACAAUGAGUGGAGAAUCAACAGUGCUCUCAGAACUUUGCUCUCAGAAAACUUAAGUUACCAGGCACUAAGUGGCUACUCAAAAUGUGGUUUGUGGACCAGAAGCAUCACAUCUCCUGGGAACUAGGAUAAGUCACACUUCAUUUCUCAGCUCUGUUCGACUUUGAAGGUGCUAGAAUAUCUGUUAUCCUGCUUAUUAGAAACAAUCAACUUUUUGACAAGGGAAUAAAUUCAGAAGAGGAAUCCAGCGCUGCUGUGGUGGCUUUAGUCACUAGUGCACACACUUCUUGUAAAUUUCUGCUCUCCCAUCCUUAGCAAUGACAUCCAAAUGCAAAUUUGCCUAAAUCCAGUCCAAAAUGGCAGUUGGAACCUCAAUCUUCACCUCCGUUUUGCAGGUAUCAUGAAGGAGGAAAUGACUGAGGACAAAACACAGGUUCUGGGGUCUAUAUCCUCUUGAGAAAAAAAAUCUUCCUUAAAGUCCUACCUUGCCACUUUUACUUACACCACAUUAGUCAGAAUUAGUCACAUGGCUACUCCAGUCUUCUAGCUGGUUACAUUUCCAGAGAAAGGAGAGGAAAGCUGUUGGUUAAACAGAUAUACCAUAUAUUUCUGUUUGCCUAUUCAGACCCACUUUCUUUUUUUUAUUUUUUAUUAUACUUUAAGUUCUUUAUUAUAUAAUACUUUAUUAUAUUUAAAGUAUAAUAAAGUUUAUUAUACUUUAAGUUUUUAUUAUACUUUAAGUACAUGCGCAGAAUGUGCAGGUUUGUUACAUAGGUAUACACGUGCCAUGGUGGUUUGCUGCACCCAUCAACAUGUCAUCUACAUGAGGUAUUUCUCCUAAUGAUAUCCAUGCCCUAACCCCCC